rnacentral:lncRNA from 1 species
ACUUUUAAAGUAGAAAUCAUGUUCUGAAAUCAAAAUGAAAUGUAUAUUCUCUUUUGUGUCAGGUGUUUCUUGAAGCCACGGAAAGCCCUUUGGGAAAAACACAUAUUACAAACAUAACCUGGAGCUCCCUUUUCAUGGAAUGCCAGCACAAAGACUGAUUAUACUCAUGUGUGCCGAAUGUCCUCAUAUUUUUCAUUUUAAAAGAAGAGCACUGUGGGACAAUGUCAAGUUCACCACUGUAUCCUCAGGGCCAGAUACAUUGUACAAGCUCAUCUGUUGGAAUGCAGGAGAGAAGAAAGAGCAAAGAGAGGAAGAGGAUGAAGGAGACCACAACUGCAUCUUCAACUUUGUAACAAAGCUUACGUGUGCUGAAAAAAUCAAUGGAACCAUUGAUUUCUUAAUCCCGAAUGCUGAGGACCGGCCAAGGAGGCUGAGCCUGACUUGUUCUCUGGCUAGCCCAGCCUAGCUAAAUCUACACACAGAUAUCACCUGGCUUUGGUUUCUCCACAUUGUAACUGCUUCCUGUAGGACCACCAGAGAAAAAAAAACCUAGCUGCUGCUUUCCAGUUUAAUCAAACUGCAUAAAAUUCACUUUUCCUUUUUAUAUCAGGUGUUUAUUUCCUACGCAGGUGGGAGGCAGAAGACAGCCAGUUGGGAGCCACCUAUUUCUCUGGCUUGGCUGACUGUCCUAUAGGCAUCCAAGAUUCCCACAGACCCAGGCUUUGUACUGAAAUUUUCAAGGCAUUCUUUCCCCCAGAAAAGUACUGCUCCUACAUUUGCAACAAUUGGAAUACAGAGGAUAUCAGUUUGCAAUAUGGGUUUCUCACAAGACAGCAUGUGAAUUCCGUGUGGCAAUCUCUUUCUUAAUUUUCCCGAUCCCUGGGCUCUGCCAGAGUUCAAUGCCAUUUGCCUGCCAUGAUUUACUUUAAAAAGGGGGGGGGCAUGCUGCUCUCAGAAAUACAACUGCUUUCAACCAGGUCAAUGAGAAAUCAGUCUGUCAUAACCCAGCUGGCAACAGAUUGUCCAUGUCACAAGAGCAAGAAAUCAUCUCUCCCUUAAAAAAUCAUUAUGAUGAUCAAUGAGACUGACUCUACGAUGCUUGCAGAUACAAAAUGGGACAAUCAAGGAAGAAUCUAGACUUUUCAUCUUAGUAAAGCUUGAGAAAGAAUGAUUAUAAAUAAAAGUUUCCAGGGGCUGGGGAUGUGACUCA